rnacentral:rRNA from 1 species
GCCAGCAACCAUAUCACCCUGCAACUCACAACUGGCAACCUACUGAAGCUAAGCAGGUGUGAGCCUGGUCAGUACCUGGAUGGGAGACCUCCUGGGAAAAACCUAUGUUGCUCCUG